UCUAAAAGCUUUCUUUAUAAAGUAAAUGUCUGAUGUUUGUGACUGCGGGGGCACAAAAUUCAUAAAUCUGUAUGAUGCUAUCAUUUCUGAUUUGUUAUCUCAGCAAAUGCCAGGUCUAAGCAGUCUGACCUUAGCUUUAUUAAGAGCUUCCUUUUUAGAAACAGUUACUAUUCAACAAUGGAAAGACUGCAGUGCUGCAAGUGGGGGAAACUAAUUUGUUUAAAAUGUGGCUUUUAAAAAAAAAAUCACAGAGACCUCAAGACUUAGAGAGUCAGGAACACUGUGAGGUUUUUAGUAAUGCAGCAACUAGGGGAGCUGAAUGCAAUUCAGAAAACUUAUGUUUCAUUUCCAUUACAUGCCUGUCUUUGAUCUCAAAUUGAAAAUCUCUGACCUUCCUCCUCCAAUCCAGAAGCAAAUAAAUACUAAAGAAAAGGAAACCCCCUCUUCUUUCAGCACACAGGGCCUCUAAGACUGAAGAAUGAAGGUGACUGCUACUAUGAACCUGUUUGGACACCAGACAGCAACAAAUACCUGUCUCAGUGGAGGAGUUUAAGAGCACUGCAGAGAUCUUCAGGCAGUGCAGAGUAUCUUGGCUUACACAGGCCACGGUCUUUAUUUCAAAACAGUACUAGUCGUGGUUUCUCUGUACCUGCAACUGAAGAAUUAGAAGAACAGGAGGACAGCAGUAAAUCUUCUAAUCCAAAACUCUUCAUGUCACAGAAAAUACCCUGAAGUCUAAGCAGGAUGAGACUCUUGAUUAAGAGGAGGAGAACUGCAUACGGCACAAUGAAGCUACAAGAGAAGCUCUGACUGUUUUGUUUUUUUCCCCCUUCAUCAAGCUACUGUACACAUGGCCUUUCAAGAUGAGCAACUCCCAUAGAACAGCAUUUACUGCGGAAGCACAGGACGUUUAUGCAGGUACAAUAAAGAAAUGAAUAUUGGACUACAUCACAUAGGUCUCGGAGAACAAAAGAGGCUGUGCAUUGAAAUACCUCCAAAGCUUUCUGAAAAUGCUAAUAGAGAGAAGUUUUCCUGGCAUUAAAGAGUAAAUCAUGCACAGUUAGUUGAAAAACAUUUUAUACAUCACUCAUCCUGUUAUAUCCAUGAAGCUGUGCAAUUUCCCUACAAGGUACCAGAUGGAUAGACUGGUAGAUAUUGAGAACCUCUGUCAGGUUUUAGCCUAUGAGCUAGUUAAUCACAUGUCUUUAGUUGCCAAAAAAGAGCAUUUAUCCUGCAGGAAGAAUGGUUGAAAGACUAUUGUUGCAUUAUUAAUAAAAACGGAGACAACACAGAAUCCCUGAUGCCUCAGGACGAUAAGGAAGAAUCUUUGGCUGACCUUGUUGAGGUGAAUGAAGAAUAUGGCAGAUGAAAUGAGAAUGAGGGGAUUAUGCAUCUGAAAACCAAGGACAUCCAGUUAAAGCUCAUCUUAUUUUAAUCUUCAUGUGGAUGAUUGAUCAUACCCGCCAGCUGGCUAAUAUCAUAAUUAACAAAGUUGCUACCACAUCUGAGAAGUAUAAUCGAAAAAUUUACCAGCAGUGUGAUGCCAUUGUCACAAAGAUCAUAAGCAUUACAGAGUCGACUUUUGCAAUCCUGGAGCUGCAGAACUAUGUAGAUGUGCUGAGAAGGGGUGCACUUGUACAGCUAAAGUGAGAUACGAUUGCAGAAAGAGGAAGAUUUAGUUCUGGCAAAACUAGUCCAGUGGCAAAGUGAAGAACUGAUGUGGCUGUCAUGGUAAAGGAAUUCCGGAAUAAAGAACCACUGUCCGAAGCUAAUCUUUACACACGGGAGCUAGAUGGUAUCAAUGGAAAAAAAUGGGAACUCAUUAAAGAGGUUCAGAAUUUAUGGAAGACUAUCUACAAACUGACAGAGGUAUUUUGUCAGCUAGACUUGCAUAGCCUUUUGAAAGUGCCCACAACUAUGAAAACAAAAGCUGAAGAAUUUAAAAUCAACAUGUCACUUAUAAAAGCUCUAUGUACACCUGGGAUUUAGCCAAGACCCUGGAAUAUGAUGAGUCAAAAGGUUCUGCUGGAGGAUCACAUUGUGAAAACUAUGGCCAUGAAAGGCCCUCCAUUUAUUGCACCCUUCAAACACGAAAUAUUAGCAUGGGAGGCUAAGCUGCAUGACCAAUGCAGGAGAUUAUGGAAACCUGGCUGCAAGUUCAAAAGGCCCUGGUGACCAUGUAUUGCUCACACGAUAUAUGUAACCAAAUAUCAGUAGAAGGAAAGCACUUUGAAGUUGUCAGUAGGAACUGGAGGCUAAUAAUGAAGGAGUCAGUGAAGGAGGCCAAUGGCAUGAGGGUUAUCUCACAGCCCCAGAUGCUGGAUAAGUUGAAGGAGGCAGAAUCGCUUUUGGAUGACAUUCAGAAAGGCCUGAAUGAUUAUCUGGAGAAGAAAAGACUAUUCUUUCUAAGGUUUUUUCUUUCUGUGCCACGAUGAGCUCUUAGAAAUCCUUUCUGAGACAAAGGAUCCACUCCAAGACCAACCACACCUAAGUAAAUGCUUUGAAGGAAUUGCCAAGCUCACUUUUAAUCAAGAGAAAGAAAUUACUCACAUGGAGUCAGCAGAAAAUGAAAAAGUAGAGCUCGUGCUGCGAAUAAUUCCAGCAAGUGCCAAGGGGCUAGUUGAGAAAUGGCUUCAUGAGGUGAAUAUCUUUAGCUCUUACUUAGGGUUUAGUUACUGUAUAAUCAUUUUCUCUUUUAGGAGCAAGGAAUAUCAUAAGCAUAUUUCCUAACUAAAUAGCUCUCUGAGAAUUUACCAGAUUAUUUAACAGAUUGAAUAUCAGCCUUAUUGUUGUUAUUUAUUACACCUAGUUGACAUGUGCAAACAUGCAAAAAUUAAUUUUAAUAAAGAGGUUAUCAGUGUGUGAGACAGUUAAUAAAAGUGUGUGUGUCUGAAAGCAUAUAUGUGACUAUAUGUUCAAGUCUAUAUAUAUGUAUUUUUGUUGUCUUCUCCCUGUAAUUUUUGUAGUUUGGAAAGAUAGACUUUUUUUUUACAAAGCAGUUUAAAGGAACGUGAAGAGAUUUUUUGCACACCCCUCUCCCCCAGAAAAUCUUUAUUUUCAAUACAUAUUAAGCAAAGGGAAGAGAAAUAUUUAAUUAACAAUAUACUAACCUUUCCCCUUUGGGCCUAUGAUCCAAAUCAAUCCGUUUCAGUGUGAAAUUAGUUUGAUGACCUUUUUUGUUGGCUUUAUUUUUACCUUCCUCUGUUACACAAUCAAAGUGGGUCCUUCCUCUGAUAUACAAUUCUAGGCCAAGUCCACUUCCAAUCUCUCCUUCUUUCUUUCAAGACAGAAUCAGCCCCAGGUACACAUCUUUCCUUUCUGUUGUUAUUGCAGGCACUGCUUUUACCCCAUUAAAUCUCUACCUUUACCUCUUGCCUCUCUCUUCACUUCAGGCUGUCAGCCAACCAGGGUAUACAACUGAGAAAAGCAAUACCAUAUACUAGAAAGGGAGAAAAGGAAAAACAAAACAAAACCAAAAAACACACACAGAAUUUUUUUCCAAGAUGGACUCUGCUGCGGGGGGCGGGAAUUUGUCAAAGGAACUGAGAGUGAACUUUAACUGAGAGUAUUACUUCUGUUAUGUGCCGAGUUUCUGCUGGCCGGGUGAGCAAAACAAAACAGCUCAAGUCCUCUCAUGAUUCCAUGUUUCCCACAUAACUGAGCCACAUAUCACCAUGCCAACUUAGAAUUAAUCUUUUUUAAAGUGACUGCACACAAUUUAAAACAGUUCAUCACAGUUAGUCAGGGGACGAUAAGGACAGAGCCUGCUUAGGCACAAAUACUUCCUUCCCUACUCUCCAAAGAAAAUUAUUAAACUUUAUUUUUAUACUCAUUUUCAGCACAAUGUUAUGUUCUUCGGAAAAACAUUGGAGUUAGAGAGCUGUGAUGGUAUGAGAUAUGCAGUUAUGAGGAGCCUAGGAAAGGCAGAUCUCACCAUACCGGAAAACCUGCUGUAUGUUGUUUAGUUCUCUCUCUCCAACAAAAGAGAGAGAGAGAUAGGGAGAUGAGCAGCUGUGUUUAUUUUAAUACAUCUCAUUUAACCCUCACCGAAAAACAAAUGGAAAGGUUUGGGAGUGCAUUAAUCUGGACCCAAUUAGCAUCUCUUUCUCCCUCAAAAGUGCAACCUGUGAUUAAUGAAUAUAAAGUAGAGUUUCAUAUGCAGUCUUUAAAUCAUUUGCAUGUUUUAUGCAUGAUAAUUGAAUUUAUUUAUGCACUUCCUUUCAUUUAAUGAUUUCCUGCUCUUUCCUGUGCUAUCCACAUUGUACUAUCCAAGAAACAGGAUUUGAUAGGCAAGCAAGGAUAGGAGUAGAUAAAUAAAACCAAGUAAAUUUGUAGGUCUAAUGUCAACUGCAAAUAAAAAUUAAUGGGUUAAUGUAAAAUAUUUUAGUUAAAGUAUAUGCUCUUAGCCUUUUCAGACACUUUGGAUAUUGCUUAGUAUGCUUGUAAAUGUACAAGCAAAAUUAUUUUCAAAAGGCCAUGAAAGGCAGUUAAAUUAUUGUAUUGACAUUUCUAUGACCCUGGAGACUUGUGUUUCAACUUGGCCAAUUAGUAGUAAUAAGAUAAUCAGAAGAUGAAUAGUAAUUACAUUAAUAACUAAUGGUAUUCAGCCCAGGACCUAGAGAAUCAGUCUGGUUUAGAAUAUAAUAGUACAUUAUAAUUUGUCUUAUUCAGUAUUUGAUCAGUAGAAAUAUGAGCAUUGGAUGCCUAGUAAAUUUAUCAUAGGCAGGAUGUAUACGUUCUAGAGAUCAGUUUGCCACAUUACUGGCCCUGUGAUUGUGCCUGUAAAGUGACAUAAUGGGGAAAAUUGCUUUUUCCCCCCAUUUAAGGUCAGAUGUCCUAGUGAUUCCAUGGUGCUGGUGUCUGAAUUCUUUACAAUGCAAAGUCCAUCCUUGCGAUGGUCAUGCCAGGAAGCUACUU